GCUGGCUUCAUGCAUGUGCACUCCGAUUUACCUUCAACCCCUGUGCACUAUUUUGUAGGCAUAAAGAAAAAGAAAUAUGCAGUAAUGCGUGUAUCUCAAGUAUUUGUGUCUAUGAUUUUUUAUACACUCGUAACUUAUAAAGAAUGUUCAAGUAGACUUGUAAAGUCGAAAUUAUAAAACAACUUUCAACAACGGAUCUCUUGGUUCUCGCAUCGAUGAAGAACGCAGCGAAUUGCGAUAUGUAAUGUGAAUUGCAGAAUUCAGUGAAUCAUCGAAUCUUUGAACGCACAUUGCACCUUUUGGUAUUCCGAAAGGUAUGCCUGUUUGAGUAUCAUUAAUCUCUCAACACUAUAGUUUUUAUCAACUAUAUGCGCUUGGAUUUUGAAGGUUUGCUGGCGUUGUUGUCAGCUCCUUUUAAAUGUAUUAGCAGGACUUGUUAGACCAGCUUCGGUUUGAUAAUAAUUCUUAUCUAUGCUGUCGCUGAGAAACUAUUGUUUUGCUUCUAAUUGUCUACACAGUAGACUGUCUCUUAUGAGGCAUUACUUGAAUCUUGAUCUCAAAUCAGGUAGGACUACCCGCUGAACUUAAGCAUAUCAAUAAGUCGGAGGAA
rnacentral:rRNA from 1 species